UACGUAGGGUGCGAGCGUUAAUCGGAAUUACUGGGCGUAAAGCGUGCGCAGGCGGUUUUGUAAGCCAGAUGUGAAAUCCCCGGGCUCAACCUGGGAAUGGCAUUUGGGACUGCAAGGCUGGAGUGCGGCAGAGGAGACUGGAAUUCCUGGUGUAGCAGUGAAAUGCGUAGAUAUCAGGAGGAACACCGAUGGCGAAGGCAGGUCUCUGGGCUGACACUGACGCUCAUGCACGAAAGCCAGGGGAGCAAACGGG
rnacentral:rRNA from 1 species